GGACUACACGGGUAUCUAAUCCCGUUCGCUACCCUAGCUUUCGUGCAUCAGCGUCAGAAGAGAUCCAGUGAGCCGCUUUCGCCACCGGUGUUCCUUAGGAUAUCAACGCAUUUCACCGCUCCACCCUAAGUUCCGCUCACCUCUAUCUCCCUCGAGCACGGUAGUUUUGGGCGCCGUUCCUCGGUUAAGCCGAGGGAUUUCACACCCAACUUUCCGCGCCGCCUACGCACCCUUUAAGCCCAGUGAUUCCGAAUAACGUUCGGACGGUUCGUCUUACCGCGGCGGCUGGCAC
rnacentral:rRNA from 3 species